rnacentral:rRNA from 1 species
AUACGGAGGAUGCAAGCGUUAUCCGGAUUUAUUGGGUUUAAAGGGUGCGUAGGCGGGACUGUAAGUCAGGGGUGAAAUACUGCAGCUUAACUGUAGCAUUGCCUUUGAAACUGCCGUUCUUGAGUACAGUUGAGGUCGGUGGAAUUUGGUGUGUAGCGGUGAAAUGCAUAGAUAUACCACAGAACGCCGAUUGCGAAGGCAGCUUACUAAGCUGUUACUGACGCUGAGGCACGAAAGCGUGGGGAUCAAACAUGAUUAGAUACCCUGGUAGUCCACGCUGUAAACGAUGAUUACUGGUUGUUAGCGAUAUAUAGCUAGUGACUGAGCGAAAGCAUUAAGUAAUCCACCUGGGGAGUACGUCGGCAACGAUGAAACUUAAAGGAAUUGACGGGG